rnacentral:lncRNA from 1 species
AUUGAUUGUUCUAUUUCUAGAUGCUGUGAGAGAAGUAAGGAAAUAUUCCUCAGUUCAUACCAUUGAGAAGAGCUCCACCAGCAGACCUGAUGCCUAUGAACACACACAGAUGAAACUUUUUAGGUCUCAAAGAAAUCUUUACAUUUCUGGAUUUUCCCUAUUUUUUUGGCUUUUUGAGACGUCUGGUUACGCUUAUUACUCAACUGGCAAAAGAACUGUCAAACAAAGGUGUACUUAAAACUCAAGCAGAAAAUACUAACAAGGCUGCCAAAAAAUUUAUGGAAGAAAACGAAAAACUAAAAAGGAUUUUGAAAAGCCAUGGUAAAGAUGAAGAAUGUGUUUUGGAAGCAGAAAAUAAAAAACUAGUAGAAGACCAGGAGAAACUGAAAACUGAAUUAAGGAAGACUUCAGAUGCCCUUUCUAAGGCACAAAAUGAUGUGAUGGAAAUGAAGAUGCAGUCAGAGAGACUUUCGAAAGAAUAUGAUCAACUCCUGAAAGAACACUCUGAACUUCAGGAUCGUUUAGAAAGAGGCAACAAGAAAAGACUGUGAACUUUAUAAAAGACACUUGCAAUAUACUGUGUCAAAAUGAUAAUUUUGUUAUGUUAGCCUCUAGAAAAUUUAAGUUCAGAAAAAUGCACUAUGACCGGUUCGUAAUUUUUUUAAUGCCACACAUAGGUUGUAUUGUAAUGGCAUUAUCAAAAUAUUUGAUGAUGUUUCAGAUAUAUUGCAAAGUCUGUAUUCCAGCUCUUAAGAAAAAUAUAAGCAUGUUAAAUACCAUAUUUACAUAUUGAUAAUGUCAUUGGUAUAUGGUGGCUGUUUACCAAUAAAAGGAAAAAAUUCAUUAACCGGUUGCUUCCAAAAUUAGAAGUUUUAAGUUGCAUGAAACCAUUAAUAGCCUUGAAAGCUUUGAUAAGUUUUCAGUAAUAAUAACCUAUUUAAUCAGAUGAUGAUGUGUUUGAAAAUAGUGUUCAAUAUCAGCAAAUUUGUACACAGGGAAUGUAAAUAAGGAUAACUGAUCAGAGUUAUCCACUGUAUUUAUAAGGAAGAGUCGGAAAAAACAAUGACCUUAGUUUUUUUUAAGCCUGAUGAUACUAUGGUUUACUCUAAUAAGAUAGCUAUAUUGAUAAUUAUAUUUUUGUUACUGUGCCCUUGCACAUUUUGGUCUUUUUGUUAAUAUUUUUAUUAAUAACACAUAAUUAGUAACCACUCUACUGUUUCAAGUUAAUCUAGUAAUAGAGCUUACAUAUAUUUGUAUAACUGCUAUACCACUGAACUGAAUUUAUUUUACAACAGUGUAGAAUUCUUGAAAAGUUAACGUAGAAAAUAUCCAAAAAGCAGUAUUUCUAGAAAGUGUCCAAAAAGCAGUAUUUCUUUCCCUUGGUUGUGAGAGUAACUAAUUAUAUAAAUAUUACCUCAAAAAUACAUACACUGGUAUCACACAGUCUUUCUACAAUGUUUCUGUAUUCUGAAAGCUAAAUAUUAAGUACUAUUUUUCCAUUCAAAUAUUCAUUUAGAAUUUCCUUUAGAAGAUGGCAGUGAUUAUAAUAUUAAUAUGAUUUCAUUUGUUCCAGUGUUUAGACAUGAAAUCAUCUUCCUUGUCUCAUGAAAACCUAAAUAU